rnacentral:rRNA from 1 species
GAUGAACGCUAGCUACAGGCUUAACACAUGCAAGUCGAGGGGCAGCAUGAUUGAAGCUUGCUUCAAUCGAUGGCGACCGGCGCACGGGUGAGUAACACGUAUCCAACCUGCCGAUAACUCGGGGAUAGCCUUUCGAAAGAAAGAUUAAUACCCGAUAGCAUAGUUUUUCCGCAUGGUUUCACUAUUAAAGAAUUUCGGUUAUCGAUGGGGAUGCGUUCCAUUAGAUAGUUGGCGGGGUAACGGCCCACCAAGUCAACGAUGGAUAGGGGUUCUGAGAGGAAGGUCCCCCACAUUGGAACUGAGACACGGUCCAAACUCCUACGGGAGGCAGCAGUGAGGAAUAUUGGUCAAUGGACGAGAGUCUGAACCAGCCAAGUAGCGUGAAGGAUGACUGCCCUAUGGGUUGUAAACUUCUUUUAUACGGGAAUAAAGUGGAGUAUGCAUACUCCUUUGUGUGUACCGUAUGAAUAAGGAUCGGCUAACUCCGUGCCAGCAGCCGCGGUAAUACGGAGGAUUCGAGCGUUAUCCGGAUUUAUUGGGUUUAAAGGGAGCGUAGGCGGGUGCUUAAGUCAGUUGUGAAAGUUUGCGGCUCAACCGUAAAAUUGCAGUUGAUACUGGGCGCCUUGAGUGCAGCAUAGGUAGGCGGAAUUCGUGGUGUAGCGGUGAAAUGCUUAGAUAUCACGAAGAACUCCGAUUGCGAAGGCAGCUUACUGGACUGUAACUGACGCUGAUGCUCGAAAGUGUGGGUAUCAAACAGGAUUAGAUACCCUGGUAGUCCACACAGUAAACGAUGAAUACUCGCUGUUGGCGAUACACAGUCAGCGGCCAAGCGAAAGCAUUAAGUAUUCCACCUGGGGAGUACGCCGGCAACGGUGAAACUCAAAGGAAUUGACGGGGGCCCGCACAAGCGGAGGAACAUGUGGUUUAAUUCGAUGAUACGCGAGGAACCUUACCCGGGCUUAAAUUGCAGUGGAAUGUAGUGGAAACAUUACAGCCUUCGGGCCGCUGUGAAGGUGCUGCAUGGUUGUCGUCAGCUCGUGCCGUGAGGUGUCGGCUUAAGUGCCAUAACGAGCGCAACCCUUAUCUAUAGUUACUAUCAGGUCAUGCUGAGGACUCUAUGGAGACUGCCGUCGUAAGAUGUGAGGAAGGUGGGGAUGACGCCAAAUCAGCACGGCCCUUACGUCCGGGGCUACACACGUGUUACGAUGGGGGGUACAGAAGGCAGCUACCUGGCGACAGGAUGCUAAUCCCUAAAACCUCUCUCAGUUCGGAUUGGAGUCUGCGAACCCGACUCCGUGAAGCUGGAUUCGCUAGGAUUCGCGCGUUCGGCCACGGCGCGGUAAAGACGUUCUCCGGGCC